GCAUAUCAAUAAGCGGAGGAAAAGAAACCAACAGGGAUUGCCUCAGUAACGGCGAGUGAAGCGGCAAGAGCUCAAAUUUGAAAGCUGGCUCCUUCGGGGUCCGCAUUGUAAUUUGCAGAGGAUGCUUCGGGAGCGGUCCCCAUCUAAGUGCCCUGGAACGGGCCGUCAUAGAGGGUGAGAAUCCCGUCUGGGAUGGGGUGUCCGCGCCCGUGUGAAGCUCCUUCGACGAGUCGAGUUGUUUGGGAAUGCAGCUCUAAAUGGGUGGUAAAUUUCAUCUAAAGCUAAAUACUGGCCGGAGACCGAUAGCGCACAAGUAGAGUGAUCGAAAGAUGAAAAGCACUUUGAAAAGAGAGUUAAACAGCACGUGAAAUUGUUGAAAGGGAAGCGCUUGCGACCAGACUCGCCUGUAGGGUUCAGCCGGCAUUCGUGCCGGUGUACUUCCCUGCGGGCGGGCCAGCGUCGGUUUGGGCGGCCGGUCAAAGGCCCUCGGAAUGUAACGCCCCCCGGGGCGUCUUAUAGCCGAGGGUGCCAUGCGGCCAGCCCGGACCGAGGAACGCGCUUCGGCUCGGACGCUGGCAUAAUGGUCGUAAGCGACCCGUCUUGAAACACGGACCAAGGAGUCUAACAUCUACGCGAGUGUUCGGGUGUCAAACCCGUGCGCGCAGUGAAAGCGAACGGAGGUGGGAACCCCUCGGGGUGCACCAUCGACCGAUCCUGAUGUCUUCGGAUGGAUUUGAGUAAGAGCGUAGCUGUUGGGACCCGAAAGAUGGUGAACUAUGCCUGAAUAGGGCGAAGCCAGAGGAAACUCUGGUGGAGGCUCGCAGCGGUUCUGACGUGCAAAUCGAUCGUCAAAUUUGGGUAUAGGGGCGAAAGACUAAUCGAACCAUCUAGUAGCUGGUUCUGC
rnacentral:rRNA from 1 species